UCAGCCAUGCGUGCUCCCGUUGGCACUCCCCGGUGGGCUGGGCUCCGAGCCAAACACGUAGCGAGCCCACUCCCCGGCCUGCGCGUCCGCCUGCGCCAUGGCCGCGCGCACGCCUUCUCCGUCUGCCCACGCCGACGCGAUCACCGCGGCGACGAUGGCCACCACAAGCAGAGGCGCCAGCAGGGUGAGUAGCUGCGCCGCGUCCUCCACCGCCAU
rnacentral:lncRNA from 7 species